GACGUAGGGUGCAAGCGUUAUCCGGAUUCACUGGGUGUAAAGCGCGUGCAGGUGGUCUCGUAAGUUGGACGUGAAAUCUCCUGGCUUAACUGGGAGGGGCCGUUCAAUACUGUGAGACUGGAGGGCAGGAGAGGGAGGUGGAAUUCCCGGUGUAGUGGUGAAAUGCGUAGAUAUCGGGAGGAACACCAGUGGCGAAGGCGACCUCCUGGCCUGUUCCUGACACUCAGACGCGAAAGCUAGGGGAGCGAACGGG
rnacentral:rRNA from 1 species